rnacentral:rRNA from 1 species
GAUGAACGCUAGCGGCAGGCUUAACACAUGCAAGUCGAGGGGCAGCGGGAGUAGCAAUACUUGCCGGCGACCGGCGCAAGGGUGCGUAACGCGUGAGCAACAUGCCCGUAUCAGGGGGAUAAUCCAGGGAAACUUGGUCUAAUACCGCAUAAUAAUCAUUUGGGGCAUCUUGGAUGAUUUAAAAUUUCGAUGGAUACGGAUUGGCUCGCGUGACAUUAGCUGGAUGGAGAGGUAACGGCUCACCAUGGCUACGAUGUCUAGGGGUUCUGAGAGGAAGGUCCCCCACACUGGAACUGAGACACGGUCCAGACUCCUACGGGAGGCAGCAGUGAGGAAUAUUGGACAAUGGAUGGAAAUCUGAUCCAGCCAUGCCGCGUGCAGGAAGACGGCCCUAUGGGUUGUAAACUGCUUUUGUAUGGGAGCAAUAAGGGUUACGAGUAGCCUGAUGAGAGUACCAUACGAAUAAGGACCGGCUAACUCCGUGCCAGCAGCCGCCGUAAGAC